GAUCAUGGCUCAGGAUGAACGCUAGCUACAGGCUUAACACAUGCAAGUCGAGGGGCAGCAUGGUCUUAGCCUGCUAAGGCCGAUGGCGACCGGCGCACGGGUGAGUAACACGUAUCCAACCUGCCGUCUACUCUUGGACAGCCUUCUGAAAGGAAGAUUAAUACAAGAUGGCAUCAUGAGCCCACAUGUUCACAUGAUUAAAGGUAUUCCGGUAGACGAUGGGG
rnacentral:rRNA from 1 species